rnacentral:hammerhead_ribozyme from 1 species
AUCCAACUGAUGAGUCUCAAAUAGAACGAAAUGCCCAUCUUGGAU